CUACGGGGGGCUGCAGUGAGGAAUUUUGCGCAAUGGGGGAAACCCUGACGCAGCAACGCCGCGUGAGUGAUGAAGGCUUUCGGGUCGUAAAGCUCUGUCAAGUGGGAAGAACAUACAUAAGGCCAAUACCUUUAUGUACUGACGGUACCACUGAAGGAAGCACCGGCUAACUCCGUGCCAGCAGCCGCGGUAAUACGGGGGGUGCAAGCGUUAUUCGGAAUCAUUGGGCGUAAAGAGCACGUAGGCGGUUAUCUAAGUCAGAUGUGAAAGCCCGGGGCUUAACCCCGGAAGUGCAUUUGAUACUGGGAAACUUGAGUAUGGGAGAGGGAAGUGGAAUUCCUGGUGUAGAGGUGAAAUUCGUAGAUAUCAGGAGGAACACCGGUGGCGAAGGCGACUUCCUGGACCAAUACUGACGCUGAGGUGCGAAGGCGUGGGGAGCAAACAGGAUUAGAUACCCUGGUAGUC
rnacentral:rRNA from 1 species